rnacentral:rRNA from 1 species
AUGAACUGCCUCAGCAAGUUCACUGUCAACUUGGUCAGACACAGCUUGGCGACAGUCACAAACGAACUGCUUUCAUUCCCCUAUUUUGUUCAUGGUGGGUUCAUGGAUUCCAUUCGUAUUGGUGGUGUUGUGAUACCUAACCACAAGAGGGUGGAGUACGCACUGCAAUCCAUCCAUGGCAUUGGCCGGGCACGCGUCCGUCAGAUCCUUUCAGAGCUCAGUUUGGAGAACAAGCUCACCAAAGACCUCUCCAAAGAGGAGAUCAUCACCCUCCGUGAGGGGAUCGCAAAGUACAUGAUUGAAACAGACCUAGUAAGUAAUUCCCAUGGUCCUUUUGCCAAUCUGAUUUGUCCUGUGCAUGUUGUUGUGUAA